UGGAUCCAGACUUUGAUUCUGGCUCAGGAUGAACGCUAGCUACAGGCUUAACACAUGCAAGUCGAGGGGAAACGACAUUGAAAGCUUGCUUUCGAUGGGCGUCGACCGGCGCACGGGUGAGUAACGCGUAUCCAACCUGCCCAUCACUUGGGGAUAACCUUGCGAAAGUAAGACUAAUACCCAAUGACGUCUCUAGAAGACAUCUGAAAGAGAUUAAAGGUUUAUCGGUGAUGGAUGGGGAUGCGUCUGAUUAGCUUGUUGGCGGGGUAACGGCCCACCAAGGCGACGAUCAGUAGGGGUUCUGAGAGGAAGGUCCCCCACAUUGGAACUGAGACACGGUCCAAACUCCUACGGGAGGCAGCAGUGAGGAAUAUUGGUCAAUGGACGAGAGUCUGAACCAGCCAAGUAGCGUGCAGGAUGACGGCCCUAUGGGUUGUAAACUGCUUUUAUAAGGGAAUAAAGUGAGUCUCGUGAGGCUUUUUGCAUGUACCUUAUGAAUAAGGACCGGCUAAUUCCGUGCCAGCAGCCGCGGUAAUACGGAAGGUCCGGGCGUUAUCCGGAUUUAUUGGGUUUAAAGGGAGCGUAGGCCGGAGAUUAAGCGUGUUGUGAAAUGUAGAUGCUCAACAUCUGCACUGCAGCGCGAACUGGUUUCCUUGAGUACGCACAAAGUGGGCGGAAUUCGUGGUGUAGCGGUGAAAUGCUUAGAUAUCACGAAGAACUCCGAUUGCGAAGGCAGCUCACUGGAGCGCAACUGACGCUGAAGCUCGAAAGUGCGGGUAUCGAACAGGAUUAGAUACCCUGGUAGUCCGCACGGUAAACGAUGGAUGCCCGCUGUUGGUCUGAAUAGGUCAGCGGCCAAGCGAAAGCAUUAAGCAUCCCACCUGGGGAGUACGCCGGCAACGGUGCAACUCAAAGGAAUUGACGGA
rnacentral:rRNA from 1 species